rnacentral:rRNA from 1 species
GACAGAGGUCCCGAGCGUUAGGCGGAAUCACUGGGCUUAAAGCGUGUGUAGGCGGAUCGUUAAGUGCCUUGUGAAAUCCCAUGGCUUAACCAUGGAACUGCUUGGCAUACUGGCGGUCUUGAGCCACUUAGGGGCAACCGGAACAAAUGGUGGAGCGGUGAAGUGCGUAGAUAUCAUUUGGAACGCCAAUGGUGAAAACAGGUUGCUGGGAGUGUGCUGACGCUGAGACACGAAAGCCAGGGGAGCGAACGGG